rnacentral:pre_miRNA from 1 species
CUUUUAAGCAUCCAAUUGGCUCUUUUCUUUCUUUCUUUUUUUAUGGUAGAGGAAGGAAAAGGAGCUGACUGGGCAGCUUGGAGG